CUACGUGGGGCUGCAGUGGGGAAUAUUGGACAAUGGGCGAAAGCCUGAUCCAGCCAUGCCGCGUGUGUGAAGAAGGCCUUCGGGUUGUAAAGCACUUUCAGUGGGGAAGAAAGCCUUGGGGCUAAUACCCUCGAGGAAGGACAUCACCCACAGAAGAAGCACCGGCUAACUCCGUGCCAGCAGCCGCGGUAAUACGGAGGGUGCGAGCGUUAAUCGGAAUUACUGGGCGUAAAGCGCGCGUAGGCGGUCUGAUAAGCCGGUUGUGAAAGCCCCGGGCUCAACCUGGGAACGGCAUCCGGAACUGUCAGGCUAGAGUGCAGGAGAGGAAGGUAGAAUUCCCGGUGUAGCGGUGAAAUGCGUAGAGAUCGGGAGGAAUACCAGUGGCGAAGGCGGCCUUCUGGACUGACACUGACGCUGAGGUGCGAAAGCGUGGGUAGCAAACAGGAUUAGAUACCCCGGUAGUC
rnacentral:rRNA from 1 species